CAUGAAGUACCUGGAUUUGGAAGAUAAUUCUGAGAGCACUAGAAUCUGUACCAGUAAGACAGAGUGUCUCAUAAAGGCAGGGAUUUUGCUUUCCUUCAAAAUCAAUCACAGAGUAAUUUAAAUUGAAAUAGUCCUCUAAGAUCAUCAAGUCCAACCAUUAACGAAACACUACCAAGUCUGCCCCUUAAUCUGCCACUGAGUGCCACAUCUAUGCAUCUUUUAAAUACCUCCAGGGAUGGUGACUCAACCACUUCCCUGGGCAGUCUGUUUUAAGCUUGACAGCCCUUUCGUUGAAGAAAUUUUUCCUAAAAUAUAAAACCUGUUGUUAACCCAUGUUAUAAAUAGCUGAAAAGGAAUUGGUGCAUGGGAAAUAGAGGAUACCACUUCUGUCUUGAGCAGCUUCAAGCCUUUUUUACCAUCUCCCAGGCUGGUGCCAGUAACCAAGUAUUUGCUGAACUUGUUUAUUGGUAUGUGUCAAUAAGACAUAGGAAACUGAACAUAUAAGCAAAAUAAUAUGUAAGAGCCAGAGUGAAUGCCGGGGGGCCCUCUUACAUUGUCUGGCAAUCUGGCAUUUACCAAAAAGAGGAGCCCUGGGUUCCAGUAACAGAUUAGCACAAAAUACUAUGGUGCUGCAAAAUCUCUUGUGGUACCUGUCAAAAGUGAUCAGGGAUAGAAUGUAACAAAUGAUACAAUGGUAUUGUAGGGUACAAACGAUCAUUUCUCUUUGUUUUCUUGCAGAACCUGCAGUCAGCACUUUUUUGGAGCGGUUUUCCUGCUCUUCCCAGAUAAUUGCUAUUAACAAUUCACUGGAAUUUAGCAUUAGGGAGAUGUGCUGCAUCCUCUCAUCCCCUCGCUCAGGAAGACCUCUGAUGGGAGAGCAACUGCCAGGGAGAAGCUGAACGGCACUGAAGAGGUGCAGGAGGCAGCUAAUGUGCAUUUGGGCAGCUGACCACCAGCUCCUUCCUAUAAAAUGUCCAUAUGGUCCUUCCUAUAAAAUUCUUUGUAGAGAACUGUGAAUAAUACUGGGUGUAUCACAGAGGCCUGCUGGGCUCCACAAAGCCUGUGUGAGGGGAAAAACAGAAUGCUCAGUGCAGGAUCUGUGCAGCUACUGUGGUGCUUCAAAGGGAGCCAGAAAGCAAAACAGCACAGGUAUGUAAGGAAAGAAUAAACAUUUUCAUUUUGCCAUAUUAUAUAAAUAAGGGUGGCUGGAUAAUUAGGUGGCCAGUAGUGUGCUGUGUUAUGGAGGGGAGGAGAGACAGGACUAGGCUUCUCCACAUGCACCAAGCCUUGUGCUUAACCUGGACCCUGGUCUGUGUUUCUGGAGUCUUUCCUUCCAUUCUUGUGUGUCAAGGUCACUGCAACAUCUGAUGUUUUAUUAUAGCCUUUUCCUUGUUGCAGCAAGUCCUGCAGUGCUGGUCUGGCUGGGAUUCCUGCAUUUCAGAAAACCCCAGCUGACCAAGGAAGCCCCUCAGCAUGUCCAUCAGCAGGUCCCCUCAUGUAACUCCUUAAACUCAAAAUGUUUUGAACCCUUGAAUUGGCUUCUUGUGGAGGUAGGCAGAUAUUUGUCCCUCGCUAAGAAGAAUGUCCCUGACCUGCAGUGUUGGUGCAUACAUUUCAUGUCUGGUCAUCAGCAGAAAAUGGAAAACUUAUUUGUUUAUUUCAUACCAUAGUAGAAGUCUCAGUUCUUACCUCUUUCCAUCUCUGCUUUGACAUUAUUCCAAGACUUUUUUCCUGUCACAGAAGUGAGAGUGUUUUUUCUUUCAGUUUACGAUAGCAAAAAAAUGGUUACGAUAGCAAAAAAACAAGGUUGUGUUGAAACAGGACUGAUGGCAGGGCAGGAUUUAUGAUGGUGCUGGCAUUAGUUUAGACCAUGGUGGCACUGGGAAACAUGGUGUUCAUUUGUUAUCUCUGAGCAAAGGAAAGAACAAUUCCUUCUGGCCUUUAGGAGAAAACUAAUGUAUUAAGGAGCUUGUUUCAGCAUCUUGUGAUUGCUGGGAGAGAAAUUUUAAGGCGGGGAUCAGAAAUUUGGCAAGAAAUCCCUCCAACAUUUUGAGCUGCCUCAUCUGUAGGAAAUUUUCAUCCAGCCUAAUUUGGGAAUAGCAGCCCAAAUUUCACUUUGUAGUCUGCAGAACGCUUUCUGUCUGCAGUACUUCAGCAGCCAGAAACAUAUUUCUAAAACUUCAGGAGUGGUCUGGAUGUUGUACUGUUCUGGACACACAAGGAACAUUUCCUCAAGCCUGAGUCUUGCACAUUUUUAGUUUUGUUUUUUAAAAGUUAGGCUGUCUCCAAGGAAGUUUCCUCAUCAGAAGCAGUUUUAGCAUGAAUAUGCUGCUUUUCUAAACUCAAGGACAAGAGACCUGGAUUUACUGUAGAUUCUGGAAGGGUUCGGCAUACUGGAGACUGACUACUGAUGCCUUGGUAAUUUGUUGACACUGAUUGGCAUGCAGGGCCUUUCCCUUAGUCCAUGAGCAGUAGAACACACUGCAGUGCUUCCCUGGUGGCACACAGGAAGAAUAAAUUCUGUGGGAAGGCAGUCAACUGAAUUUCCUGUGGACAGUAAGGCAUGACAGUGUGACCCAGCAUGUAGCUGCCACAGACCUCUCUCACACACCCUCUAGGCUACAUCCAGUCACAAAUUCAUCCUUUCCUAUCGCCUCACUCCCAGUACUUUCAGCUCUUUUCCCUAAUUUCCUUGGCUACAAGCUGGGCAAACCAAAGCAGCUGCAGAGUGUGCAGAUGACCCUGCUUUCCUGCUGCCCCAUGUAGAUGCAGGACAACUCACAGGCUUGCUUAACAGCAAGAGGAAGCUUUGUCCUCUCAAGGCAGAUGGGCUCUGCAGGCUGCUAAGUCCCCAUUGUCCUGUCAGACACCGUACAGGCAGCAGUCUGGACUCUCAGCAUUUCCAGCUGAGUACUAAUCAUGGGGUUCUUCUCUCUGGUCAAUGUGUGUUGUUCGUCUCCAUGGAAGGAAGCUGCCUCCCACACAGAGCUGAAAAUGAAAAUUGUAACUGUUUCUAGAACAUGAAUAUCUACAUACAUUUGCAUACUCUUAUUCACACAGAUAUAUAUAUGUACACACACACCCCUAAUACAGAAUCAUUUGCCAAUUUCAUCCCUGUGUGGGAGGUUGAAACUUUAUGGAACCAUUUCACAAUGCAUCAAAACUUCAUAGAUCACAAUUAUAAUAGUUUUAUGUAGUAAAAGUACAGCUAAUAGUGUUUCUUCUGGAGUUUAUAUUACAUAGAAUUUUGAAAACUGAAAAAUUACAAGCAGAUCAAGACUGGUUUAAUACUAAUUUCUCUUCUCCACUUCUGAGAAGUUGUUCAGAAAAUGCCUGUUUUUGUGGCCAAUAAAGAGGAAUACACCAAACUGUAAAAGAACUGAUUGUGUCUGCAGGAGCUAUGGCCAGAGUCCAUCUAGGCCUGCAUCUUUCAUAUGACAAAGGUAUCACCGAGUGCUUUGGUAGAAGUCCUCUUGUAAAAGACAUUUUGAAACAUCAGUGGGACAUUUUUUUGUUUCAGUCUUCCGUUAUCUUUUACCAUGGUCUGACAGUUUAGUUUUUAAGUCUGUGUGGUUUUUCAAUACAAUUCUCUUACAGACCCUGUGUUCUCAAGCACUUCUUUGUCUUGUACACAAAAUAAAUUGUCUAGAGACAACACUAGACAAUAGGUAUAAACUAACUUUGGAAAUCAUUUAAGGAUCAGCUGCUUCUUCGAAACUCUUUCUAAUGGUUGUUUUAAUGCUAUAAUUAGUCAAGAGGACCUGAAGUGUUUCCUAAGUGGGAAAAGAGAGUUCAUAAAAUGAUAAAAAUCAUUAAAGAAAGUAAUUUAGAGCAUAAAUUUAAGAUAGUAAAGACCUCAAUAGCUGUACAUUUCUAGUGAUUUUAAUGUAUUUGAGACUGAAUCCAGUGUGAAUAAAGAUAUAUUUUUUCCUCAUUGCAAAUAUUCAGUUGAAGCCACAAGAAGGCAUGUUGGGUAUUUCUCACUUGUAAUAACAACAUCAUUAUGCUCUUAGAGUAGUGGGAGAAGAAAAUUUGAAAUGCUGCCAGAUGCAGUUACAUUUCUCAGUGGAGAAAUCUGAGUAUAUCAGUCUUUUGCUUAGUUCUGUUUACAAAGUUUACACUCAGAAGUGAAUCCUUGCCUUUGCCUAUUCAAUUUUAUGACUUUUAUUUUCACCUGAAAUUCUAAUAUGAUCAGUAUCUAAUUUCUGUGAUCUGUAUUCUGUCUUCUAAUUGCAUGUGCCGAACAAGUGGAUGGAGGACUGUGCCAUUCUUGGUUUCUCCUCAGGCAGAGAACUGUGGACACUGUAGGUAGCCUGAGAAAGCACCAGAACCAAGACAAAGAGCUGAAGUCCCAUUCUGCUCUCCAGGCUGCUGAUAUUGUGUGUAUUCUUUGUUACAUCAACAUGUCCCUCAAAGAUGAAAUAGGUAUUGGAGAAAUUCACCUAAACCCUCACAGUAAGAAGAAAGGAUUAUUUUCAUGCAAUAAGACAAAGCAAGCUGAAAUACCUGAAGAGAAUCAACAAUGUGCGCAAUCAUCCUGGCACACCUAACAUCAACAACAAUUUGCUCAAGUAGAGGCAUCUAAAUGAAAUUUGAUAUAACAGUCUUCAGCCAGGUGAAGGUCAGUCUGUUUGUGAAAGGAGUCUGUUUCUGAGACUCCCUACUGGUCAACAUCUGCAGGCUACUUCAUACAGCAUUAGGACUUACAUCAGAAAAAGGAACAUAACUGGGCUCCACUAAAGGCCACAGAGGAUGAGAGAAACAUGGGAGGAGACAAAGAAGCUGCAUUUCUUGUUUAGACUGAGGUGAAAACAAAUACAUGCUAUCCUUGGGUAAGUGACCUCUUGAAAAGAUCAGCUAACCCCUGGAUUUUAACACACUAAACCGUGUGUGUCACGUUUGGACUGCCUACAGCAUGUGCACACUGUGUCAGUUCUUACAUGACUUUCCCAAGGUACAGAUGUACAGCAAGUGCAUCUGUGAGUGACCAGAAUAAAGCUCAGAAGAAGCAAAGUUGACAGUGCCAUCACCUUAGGCUCUUUUGGCCACUUUACAGUGGUUCUUUUCUGUAAUACUCAAUAGUUUUUCUCAGCUUUUGCCCUCCCAGGAGAUUUUUUUUUUGUCAAGGUUUCAUUAACAUUAAAAUCAGGUUAUUUGAAGGAGGAGAAAUCCCAUUUCUUCUUCAUUUAAAUUUACUAUUGAAUUAUUUGCUUUUGUAAUAACAGUAUUUUUUUCACAGUGUCUAUGCUACAAGUACAAUUUUAACAAAUGUCAUCUGUGGAUGUUGUUUAUCUUUGACAAUUUAAAGGAAAAGAGUAGAACUCCUCACAGCAAUCAUUCAAUAAUAGCAAAGCUUCAAAUUUUGCCAACCACAUAGAUUUCAUCUGACAUAUUUUUAAAUGUUUUCCUUCACCCACAUUUGUAUUAUCGGAAUAUUUUAAAAAUAUUUAUGCUCUAUUUUUAGUUUACUAGAAAGGCACUUUUCCAUAGCAGAAAAUAUUACUCUUUUGUUUUGACCACAGAUGAAAAACCACAGCUUUAGGACUAAAACAGAAGGCUGUAGCUCCACCUGUAAAAGCCCUACAGCUAAAGCAAAACACGUAGAGCAACCAGUGCAUGCAUUCUCAAACCCAACUGGUACCCAUCCACUGGGUGCCUCUCAGCUGGAGACCAGCUCUGCAGGCUCUUCAGUCUUCACACUGUUUUUCUCAGGUGCAAGAACUUCUUAGAAGAGUCUUCAGCUUAAGAGAUGUGGAAUCUGAGACACAUGGGGUAUUCAACCUCAGCCAGAAAUAGAGUCAGAAGUGGGAAAACCUGCUUACUUUCCAGUUCUGCUCCCCUGAUGUAUAUUCUUGGAACCUUCAAAUCCAGGAUGAGUCAUGCUAGAAACUCUACUGUAGCUAAGACAUCUUAAGGCUGUAAAGGGUCAACAAAGUGAGGCAGCUGCUCUUAAGUGCAGGUAGCAUUUCCUUGAACCUCAAAAUCUAUGCCAUCUUCUAAAAAUAAAUGCAAAGCAGAUUUAUAUUUCAGGAAGAACAAAUGAACACCAAGCAAAUACCUUCACCAUAAUCCAAGCUCCAGGGAUGCAGGACUUGAUAAAAUGUUAUUUAGCAACACUUCACCUCUAUCAAUCUGGCAUCACAUUAAAAGGAGACCAGUAUAUUAAGUUGAUCAUAUUCCUGGGGAAGCCAAGCUAUUGGAGGUGGAAUGACUUGGUCAAAACCAGAUCUCGGUCUACCUUUAUUGGAUUAAAUCCAUUUUAUCCAGAAAAAAUGCUGUCUCUAACUACAGUCACCAGACACAUCACAGGAUAGUGUAAGAAAACCCACUUAUAUGUGCUGACAAAUCUACAUGGUUACAUUAUUGUGAGGUGCAGAAGGGAGGCUGAUGCAAUUGGUGAGUUAAAUCUUCAGAAAAAAAAAAAAGGAGCAAGAAAUUAUUAUUCUUUCCUUUCAUAUGAUACAAGUAGCUUAUGGAAAUGUGUGCUAGAAAAAAAAUAUGAAAAAGCUCAGAACUGUAGUUUUAAUUUACGCUGUCAAUGUCAUGCAACUCACCCUGAAAUUAGAGACCACCUAAAGAAUUUAGUUAAUCUGUCAUGUCUCUGAAGGCUGCAGCUCAAAGGACAUGAAGUCUUGUCUUUAACUGUUGAAAUGCAAAGUGAGAAAGUCACCAAGAAUAUAAUGAACUUGUAUAAUACUGACAUGGAUAAAUUUCAGUACUGGAGUGACACCCAGGGAAAUUUGCUUCUUGGUUAUCUGAGGCUCAGGUAGUGAAAUUCAGCUAAAACCAGAGGAAACUGAGUUGCUUUCAGGGUUUUGACUGUCGGGACUUGGGAAUUGUAAUGGACACAGAAAAAACACACUGCUGAUCUUGAGAGAUUUCAUGAAAAACAGCACCAAACUAGAAAUGAAAUUAAAUGUUUAUUAACAUCCAAGUGUAAUCAAACAAAAAAACCACCUCCCAUGGAAAUAGCAGAGGAAGACACCUGUUCAACAAUACCUUGGUAUCAGAUGCAAUUUAAACAAAUAUUUGGUUUGCAUUUUUCCACUGAUUAAAAGUCAUACUAUCA